AGCAGCAUGGCCUAGUGGAAAGAGUAUGCACCUGGGAAUUAGAAGACCUGGGUUCUAAUCCCAGUUCUGCCA
rnacentral:tRNA from 1 species